UACGUAGGGCGCAAGCGUUGUCCGGAAUUAUUGGGCGUAAAGAGCUCGUAGGCGGUCUGUCGCGUCUGGUGUGAAAUCCCGAGGCUCAACCUCGGGCGUGCAUCGGGUACGGGCAGACUAGAGUGCGGUAGGGGAGACUGGAAUUCCUGGUGUAGCGGUGGAAUGCGCAGAUAUCAGGAGGAACACCGAUGGCGAAGGCAGGUCUCUGGGCCGCAACUGACGCUGAGGAGCGAAAGCAUGGGGAGCGAACAGG
rnacentral:rRNA from 1 species